rnacentral:rRNA from 1 species
CCCCACUGUCCCCGGCUGGGGCCCGGCGAAACCACUGCCAGGCGCAUAUGCCUGGGACCUCCGGUGGGAAGCGAAGACCCCAUGGAGCUUUACUGCAGCCUGCCGUUGCCGUACGGCGGGGGGUGCGCAGCGUAGGCGGGAGGCGUCGAAGCCCGUCCUCCGGGGCGGGUGGAGCCGUCCAUGAGACACCGCCCACCCUCUGCCGUACGGCUAACCCCCGAUGGGGGGACAGCGGUAGGUGGGCAGUUUGGCUGGGGCGGCACACCCUCGAAAAGGUAUCGAGGGUGCCCUAAGGUCGGCUCAGGCGGGUCAGGAAUCCGCCGUAGAGUGCAAGGGCAAAAGCCGGCCUGACUGGACCCGUAACAGAGGCGGGUCCAGCCGCGAAAGCGUGGCCUAGCGAACCCCUGUGCCUCCCCGGUGGGGGCCAGGGAUGACAGAAAAGCUACCCUGGGGAUAACAGAGUCGUCUCGGGCGAGAGCCCAUAUCGACCCCGAGGCUUGCUACCUCGCUGUCGGCUCUUCCCAUCCUGGCCCUGCAGCAGGGGCCAAGGGUGGGGGUGUUCACCCAUUAAAGGGGAACGUGAGCUGGGUUUAGACCGUCGUGAGACAGGUCGGAUGCUAUCUACCGGAGGUGUUGGCCGCCUGAGGGGAAGGCUCCCCCAGUACGAGAGGAACAGGGAGCCGCGGCCUCUGGUCUACCGGUUGUCCUACAGGGCACAGCCGGGCAGCUACGCCGCGUCCGAUAAGGCCUGAAAGCAUCUAAGGCCGAAGCGGUCCCCGAAAAUAGGCGGCCACUCCCAGGCGCAGGGGGUCGGGCGACCGGUCCUUUGCCUGGGACGAGGGCUCGGGAAGAAGACCCGUUUGAUGGGGCGGGGAUGUAAGC